GUGAGGAAUAUUGGUCAAUGGGCGAGAGCCUGAACCAGCCAAGUCGCGUGAAGGAUGAAGGUUUUAUGAAUUGUAAACUUCUUUUGCAGGGGAAUAAAGUACGGUACGUGUACCGUUUUGUAUGUACUCUGCGAAUAAGGAUCGGCUAACUCCGUGCCAGCAGCCGCGGUAAUACGGAGGAUCCAAGCGUUAUCCGGAUUUAUUGGGUUUAAAGGGUGCGCAGGCGGGUUGAUAAGUCAGCGGUGAAAGUUUGCAGCUUAACUGUAAAAAUGCCGUUGAAACUGUCGGACUUGAGUGUAAAUGAGGUAGGCGGAAUGCGUGGUGUAGCGGUGAAAUGCAUAGAUAUCACGCAGAACUCCGAUUGCGAAGGCAGCUUACUAAGCUACAACUGACACUGAAGCACGAAAGCGUGGGGAUCAAACAGGAUUAGAUACCCCGGUAGUCC
rnacentral:rRNA from 1 species